ACAUCGCGGCUCCGCGCCGCGGAGGAGACUUAAAUAUCCCAGCGUGCACCGCGCCGCGCGUCGCGUCAUCGCGCGCCCUCUACGUCAUGCGCGCGCGACUCCGGGAGACGCUACCGCCCGGCAGCGCCCGAGACCCAACUGGUUUGGAAAAUGCCGCCUGCCUUUAACGCCUGUUUCUGACUCUUGAGGUUUUCCGCGUGGCUCCCAGCGCCACAUCCAUCCGGAGGCGAUCCCGUGGAAGGAUCGCGUCCAAGAUAAAAGGGCCCGAGACCUAUGCUUACGUAAUUCCUAAUCCGUGAUCUUUUAUGGGGGCUGAAUUCCCCUCCAGCACAGCCUGUUACCAGGUACUUUUCACAAACGCUACUAGCGGUUGUGAGUCCCUCCCCCCUCCAUUUCUAUGUUACAAAUUGAAAACGUGGGACGAUUACCUACCAAAUUUCACAUCAUGGCCCAGAUAUCGGGUGGAUUUUGUGGCUCUGUGAUCGACUUAUACCUAUGCUAAAGUUAACGGUCUGAGAAGGUAGAUUAGUGGUUGCCUAGGGCUAGGGAGUGGGUUUGGGGGUGGGGAAUAGAAAGUGACUGGUCAUGGUUAUAGGCUUUUUUGUAGCACCAUAAAGAUAGUUUAAAAUUAGAUUGUGGUGGUGAUUGCACCACCCUAUGAUUUGCAUGGUAUGUGAAUUAUAUCUUAAUAAAGCUGUUUAAAAAGUC
ensembl:lncRNA novel transcript, antisense to POM121